UAGAGUUUGAUCCUGGCUCAGAUUGAACGCUGGCGGCAGGCUUAACACAUGCAAGCCGAGCGGAAACGAUGAAAAGCUUGCUUUUCAGGCGUCGAGCGGCGGACGGGUGAGUAAUGCUUGGGAAUAUGCCUUAUGGUGGGGGACAACAGUUGGAAACGGCUGCUAAUACCGCAUAACGUCUACGGACCAAAGGGGGGGAUCUUCGGACCUCUCGCCAUUUGAUUAGCCCAAGUGAGAUUAGCUAGUUGGUGAGGUAAAGGCUCACCAAGGCGACGAUCUCUAGCUGGUUUGAGAGGAUGAUCAGCCACACUGGGACUGAGACACGGCCCAGACUCCUACGGGAGGCAGCAGUGGGGAAUAUUGCACAAUGGGGGGAACCCUGAUGCAGCCAUGCCGCGUGUGUGAAGAAGGCCUUCGGGUUGUAAAGCACCUUCAGUUGUGAGGAAAGGGUAUUGGUUAAUAGCCACUAUCUGUGACGUUAACAACAGAAGAAGCACCGGCUAACUUCGUGCCAGCAGCCGCGGUAAUACGAGGGGUGCAAGCGUUAAUCGGAAUUACUGGGCGUAAAGCGUACGUAGGCGGUUUGUUAAGCAAGAUGUGAAAGCCCAGGGCUCAACCUUGGAACUGCAUUUUGAACUGGCAAACUAGAGUACUGUAGAGGGGGGUAGAAUUUCA
rnacentral:rRNA from 1 species